AUAAAUACUAUACUUAAAUAUAUAAAAAGAUACUUAGUUACAUAAGGCAAUGGGGGUUAUUGUGUUUGAUAUCGGUACCCAAGCACAGAUGACCUGUAUUGAUAAAGCGUAAGCAAAUCUGGCAGAGAAUCCUGACCAUAGUUAACAAGUCUUAGACUGCUUUAGCUUUAUGAUUUUUAACCCUGAUGUCCCUUAUUGUUUAGUAUGAUUUUGGAUAAUGUUAUUCUAGAAGUUCCUUCAUCUAUAAGCAGUAGUAUAUCAUCCAUAAUAGCACAGAUAUGUUUUUAAACUUAAAAGAAAUUUACAGAUAUACAUUAACAGGACCUAGCUGUGAAAAUGGGAGUUGGUAAAAUGUAAACAAAACCAUUCAGAAAAAAGUAGUUCAGUUCACCAAUGAAUGGCAAAAUCACUUGCAGCUCAUUUAUACAUUUUAACUCUUCAAUAAUAAAUGCAGAUUCAUGCAAUUUUCCAAUUAAUUUAAAAUUUACAUUUUAUUUUGUCUUCAAGAAGUGUUCAUGUUUAUUGCCUCAAAUAAAUUAAAAGAAUUAUGGUGAAGAUACAACUCGUGAAUCAGCCUGGUUCUUGCUUUCUAAUAUCUAGGCUCAAAAGUUUUUUGAAAUUUUCCAUUCUUGACAAACACUAAUAAUAAAACAUAUGCUAAUGGGCUCCUGUAACUCUUAAAGAACACCACCAUAACUCAUUUCCGUGCCCACAGUUAUGCUAUUUUUUUUAAAUGAAAACUCAAAGUUUGGCAUUUGAUUAUAGAGAAAGAAAGAUAUCUCAUGAAUAUGAAAUUGCUCAUGCCUUUUAAUAUCUCACUCUGGAAUCUGGAGUUAAUGUUUGAUACAAAUGUCAAACUGAUCCUCACUGGUGAUAUACAGUGGAUUUGUGUUACCACAUUACAUUGGAGUAGAAUUUUUCUAAACUAAUUUAACUUAUCAGCUAUUUUAAAUUACAACGAAUCACUCUCUGGAAACAGUUAUUUUCAUUGACUAUAGAGGUGACUUAUUAAAGAGUAGACAUCAAAAUGUUGGUUGAAUUUGGGACAAACUAACAUUAUCCAUGGAAAUUUAAUCUACAAAUGUAAUGCAUCGGGUAUUAAUGGAAAGUGGAAAUGGAACUGAAAGUGGUUUGAAUUCUGAGAACCUUGAAUUUUGCAUUUCCUAAUGGUGCCUAUAAUGGGUAGAAAUAAGUUCAUACAUAAUUUGGUUUUUAUUUAUUUUUUCACAAUAUCUUAAGAGUCAUAACAAUUAAGGGCCUGUAAAAUACUAGUCUUAGAUAUUAAUAUUUCAUUAACAAAUGAAAAAAGUAUGAAAAAAAAAUCCCAAAUCAAUCAGCACAGAUGGUUAUUUCAGUAACAAUCUUUUUCACAUGUCUCCCUGUGGAAAUGUUUAAGUUCAAGUGAUGCCAUUGAGAAUACUAGUUAUUUCUUCUCUAGGAAAGUUAAGACAAACCUACAUUAUUUCCAUACCGAUAAUGAGCCUUUUUAUUGCACACAAUAAGGUUUAAUUUGUUCCAUUAAUAAUUGUAAUAGAGUACUGAAAAGCCAUUUUACUUUAAGAUGCUAAAUACUUCUGUCAAACACCCAUUCGGAUUGUAUGCUUUUAAUAGAAAUGCAAAUUAACAUUUGAUUAGUCAAAAAAAAAAUCAAUAAUUACUGAAUAUGUUUUAGGUUAUGGUAGAUAGUAAAAAUUAUUUUUAAUUAUUAAAAGUGUUAAGAAUAUCAGAUGUAACUGAAAUAAGUGUUUGGUUACUUUAAAUAAGCCAUUACAAAUUUACUUAGCUGAAAUUGCCGUAUUUCAGUUAUAAAUAAUAUCUUAACGAAUGAUAUUAACAGAGAAUUAAUGAUGCUUUUGCAGGCACUCACCUAAGCAUACUCUUAUGUGAAUGUUGAUUGCACACACAGUUUUAAUUGCCCCUUUCCUUUUUUAUUACACAUUACUUUCAAACUUUCUAGUAUAAGUAUAAAGGUCUAUUUUUUUACUCUACAAUUUUGCAAUGAAAGAAAGUAUGACAAGAAGUCCUAGCCUGUGAGAGAUGGAUAGACCAAAGAUACAGGCAAUAUGUGAACUUUUCUAAUAUCCCAAGGAAAAAAAAAAAAAAAAGCACAUUCACAUAUUCUUCAAAGAGGAAAUAGGAUUCUUGUCU
ensembl:lncRNA